AGGGCUUGAUAAAACAAGCAGAUGGGUAGUAGUUAUUUAAUCUUCAUUGACUGUCUACAAAUUCACCACCUUUUUAACGGAAGAAACUGCCAAAUAUCGAGGCAUUUAACAGAGACCUGGGUUCUCAACCACUAACUAACUGUGUGACUGAGGACCAGGUGGCUUCACUUAUAUGUACCCUCUGCUUUGUAAUGAGGAAACUGGACUGUAGCCAGCAUCCCUAAAGUGUCAAGAGGUCUCCCAGGGGUACAGAGGAGAAGGAGCCAAGCACGUUGGGUACUUCUUGGGGUUUUCCCCACUCUCGGCCAGAACAGCUCCUGUUUAGAGAUCAGGUCUUUGUGUAAGACUUUGUUAGAAGAAAUACUUCACUGCUCUAAAGAGUUUGGAAAAGCAAUCAGUUUAAUUCCUUUAAAAGCCGUAUCAUGAAACUGCAGUGUUUUGGAGAAUUACUGACAAGAAGAAAAAGGAAAUCAAUGAUGCUUCUCUGUGAACUUGAGUCCUGUCCAAGAGCUUAACUUCUUCAGAGCCUCGAUCAUAGCCAGAAGAGAAAAGAAAAAAUGCAAGUCAUUGUUCUGAAGCUUAAAAAACCCAGGACUUUGAUCUGAAAAAGAAAAAUUGCAAAGAUGGUGCACAGAGUUCUCCAGAAUCUUGCCUGGUGUGGGCCAGGUAGGAAGCGCAGCGCCCUCCAGGUCAACAGGCAGCUUGACACCACAGCACUGACCUUGGAGAAGGAGACCAACGUGAAUGGUUAAUGCUGCUGUCCACCAUCCUCCUGCCUCAGUUUCCUCAUCUGAAAACAGAGAUGAUAAUACUUCCUUCAUCAAGUUGUACAGAUGAAGUAAAUCCUAGCUUGUCCUUGCUAAACGACCCUGGAGAAGACAUCUGACUCUUUAAGGCACAGCUUCCUCUUCUGUAAAGUGGGGCGAGUCAUACCCUCCCAAUAAGGUUAUAAUGGGGUGUGAAAUCGGUCAACUCUAGGCCACCAGGUCUAUGUUCUUCCCUUUCUUUACCCCUCAGACAUGUUUUCUCGGCGUUUCCUUUAACAGAGUACUUGGUUACAGCUGCAAACAUGCCAAAAGGAAGAUCAAGUAACUACAUGGUCUGUGAGGACCCGCAACGAAAACUCCCUGUGAAACUUAAUAGCCUGUGGCACUAUCGGUAUUGAGGAUCCCGACCAGGGCACCACAUUACAUUAGGUGUCAUGUAUCCUUAACACUCUCCGUGGUUGUAACAGUUUCUUGAAUUUUCGUUCUUCGGAAGACUUUGACCAGUACUUUGAGGGGUACUGGUCAGCUCUUCUAGGAUGCCCCUCUGUUGGAAUUAGUUGUUUCUCUCAUGGUUAGAUUGGGGUUAUGAGCUGGGGGACAGAAACCACAGAGGAAAAGUGCUGUUCUCUCAUGUCAUAUCCAGGGUAUGUGCUGUCGACAUUGCUUGUCACUGUUGAUGCCAACCUUAAUGACUGGCUGUAGUCAUUUGUCACCUUUCUCCACUGUCCUCUUCCCAACACUUCCCUUUCCUACUGUACUCUUUGGAAAGGAAUUUCUGUCAGGAGCCCACCCUUAAGGGAUGGGGAGUUAGAUAACCUUGCUUGAGGGAGUGGUAACUACAUAAAUCAUUUGGAAUUCUUUGACUUAGAAGACUUUUCUCUCCUUCCUGCCUUCCUUUCUUCUUCCCACCUCCUUUUCUUCCUUCCCUCCCCCCCUCCUUCCUUACUACUUAUUCAAUCAUUUAUUUAUAUCAGUAUGGACUCUCAAUAUUUAUUCUUUGGGUUAUAACCCAAUAUUUUUACUUUUUUGGGUAUGCCACAAGACAUGGGAUUUUACUUAGUUCCCCAACCAGAGAUUGAACCCAUACCCCCUUCAUUGGAAGCACAGAGGCUUAACCACUGUACUGCCAUGGAAGUCCCAUAUAAUCCAAUACUUCUUUAUUUUUGUUGCUCAAAUUGUUCCAGCUUUGGCCAUUGGUAGCUUUUCUGGUCAGCUCCUCUGUCCCUCUGACAGAUGAACAUCUUUUUUUUUUUUAGUGUGUCUUUACUUUCUGGCAUAACAACAUGCUACAGGCUGAUGGUGCAUAUUUCCUGGUCCAGACUGUAGCCAUUUAAAAUGUAUUUGAUUUGUUCUUGUGUACUCAAUUUCAGAUGAAUGUAUGUUUUUCUCAGAAUAACUUAAAAUUUUUUUUAAAUUAGAGAAAUGUGUCAGACAGAUGGAUUUUGUGAUGUUGGUCAGCUCUUAAGAUUUGUAACUUGUGAUUUCAUUCCAUGGUUAAAAUAAACAUAAUUUUUGUACCUAUUUCA